UGCCCAGAAGCGGGGGAUAACACCUGGAAACAGAUGCUAAUACCGCAUAACAACUUGGACCGCAUGGUCCGAGUUUGAAAGAUGGCUUCGGCUAUCACUUUUGGAUGGUCCCGCGGCGUAUUAGCUAGAUGGUGAGGUAACGGCUCAUCAUGGCAAUGAUACGUAGCCGACCUGAGAGGGUAAUCGGCCACAUUGGGACUGAGACACGGCCCAAACUCCUACGGGAGGCAGCAGUAGGGAAUCUUCCACAAUGGACGAAAGUCUGAUGGAGCAACGCCGCGUGAGUGAAGAAGGGUUUCGGCUCGUAAAACUCUGUUGUUAAAGAAGAACAUAUCUGAGAGUAACUGUUCAGGUAUUGACGGUAUUUAACCAGAAAGCCACGGCUAACUACGUGCCAGCAGCCGCGGUAAUACGUAGGUGGCAAGCGUUGUCCGGAUUUAUUGGGCGUAGAGCGAGCGCAGGCGGUUUUUUAAGUCUGAUGUGAAAAGCCUUCGGCUCAACCGAAGAAGUGCAUCGGAAAACUGGGGAACUUGAGUGCAGAAGAGGACAGUGGAACUCCAUGUGUAGCGGUGAAAUGCGUAGAUAUAUGGAAGAACACCAGUGGCGAAGGCGGCUGUUCUGGUCUGUAACUGACGCUGAAGGGCCCGAAAGUAUGGGU
rnacentral:rRNA from 1 species